CAUGCAAGUCGAACGAACUCUGGUAUUGAUUGGUGCUUGCAUCAUGAUUUACAUUUGAGUGAGUGGCGAACUGGUGAGUAACACGUGGGAAACCUGCCCAGAAGCGGGGGAUAACACCUGGAAACAGAUGCUAAUACCGCAUAACAACUUGGACCGCAUGGUCCGAGCUUGAAAGAUGGCUUCGGCUAUCACUUUUGGAUGGUCCCGCGGCGUAUUAGCUAGAUGGUGGGGUAACGGCUCACCAUGGCAAUGAUACGUAGCCGACCUGAGAGGGUAAUCGGCCACAUUGGGACUGAGACACGGCCCAAACUCCUACGGGAGGCAGCAGUAGGGAAUCUUCCACAAUGGACGAAAGUCUGAUGGAGCAACGCCGCGUGAGUGAAGAAGGGUUUCGGCUCGUAAAACUCUGUUGUUAAAGAAGAACAUAUCUGAGAGUAACUGUUCAGGUAUUGACGGUAUUUAACCAGAAAGCCACGGCUAACUACGUGCCAGCAGCCGCGGUAAUACGUAGGUGGCAAGCGUUGUCCGGAUUUAUUGGGCGUAAAGCGAGCGCAGGCGGUUUUUUAAGUCUGAUGUGAAAGCCUUCGGCUCAACCGAAGAAGUGCAUCGGAAACUGGGAAACUUGAGUGCAGAAGAGGACAGUGGAACUCCAUGUGUAGCGGUGAAAUGCGUAGAUAUAU
rnacentral:rRNA from 1 species